rnacentral:rRNA from 1 species
GAUGAACGCUAGCGGCAGGCCUAAUACAUGCAAGUCGAGCGGCAAGUUGAGUAGUAAUACUUAACCUAGAGCGGCGCACGGGUGCGUAACGCGUAUGCAACCUACCUUUUACUGGGGGAUAGCCCGGAGAAAUCUGGAUUAAUACCCCAUAGUACCUAAGGAUCGAUUGGUUUUUAGUUUAAAGAUUUAUCGGUAAAAGAUGGGCAUGCGUCUGAUUAGCUAGUUGGCGGGGUAACGGCCCACCAAGGCGACGAUCAGUAGGGGUUCUGAGAGGAAGGUCCCCCACACUGGCACUGAGAUACGGGCCAGACUCCUACGGGAGGCAGCAGUAGGGAAUAUUGGGCAAUGGUCGCAAGACUGACCCAGCCAUGCCGCGUGCAGGAAGACGGCCCUCUGGGUUGUAAACUGCUUUUAUCUGGGAAGAAAAAGUCCAUGCGUGGAAAAUUGCCGGUACCAGAU